GAGUCCAUGGCCAGGACCGGGAGGGAGGGGUUUGGGGGGAUCAUUGGGACGGAACUCACCGCACUGCGCUGCCCCAACUUCUGCAACGGGAACAGCCAGUGCACUGAGUGGGGUUGUCAAUGCUAUCCUGGCCACAGCUUCUACGACUGCAGUCUGGCUAUCAGUCAGCCCGUGGAGUUGACAGACCUGGAGAACAGUGGUCUGUCUGUGUGACAUCAGAGCGUUCGACUGUCGCAGCGUCCGGGGUCUUCGGCCUCGGCUUCAUCGACUCUCCCCAACCCGGGCUGUCACCUCACACGACUGAUGGUGAGAGAAAUAACUCAGACAUAUGGUCAUGGGCGUACAAGGACAUACCCCAAAGUGUUGCCGUAUUAAUGAACAGAGUGGGGAACACAGAAAAAACAGACGAGAUCCUGAUAUCUCUCUGAGUAUUUUUUUUAAUUGAAAGAGUUCAGCAAAACUAUGAUGCUCUAGAUUCUCUUUUCCGAUCAUCGGAGGAGGACUCAUUGCAGUAGGCCUUGUGAUUAUCCCUCAAACAGACCGGUAAACUGCUAGUUCACAACAGGACUCCAAUAUUCCAAAGUAUAUUUUUUCCUGUGCAGUAUACAAUUUUUUUAUACAAUGCAUUUCAAUCCCAGAUGAAGACAGUAGGUUACUUAAGACAGAAACAAUAGGAGGGAGGUUGGUCAGGGAGGAGGGUUUGGCAUACAACGUGAAUGGCUCGCAACCCAACGGUUGUGUGUUCAAAUCUGAUCGCGGAUAACUUUAGCAUUUAGCACUUUAGCAUUUUUGCAACUGCUUACUACUUUUCAGCUACUUUGCAACUACAUAGUAUGUUAGCUAACACUUCCCCUAAACAUAACCCUUUAUCCUUACUCAUAAACCUAACCUGUUAACUACCUAACCUGUUAACUAACCUUAACCCCUAACCCUUAACCCCUAGCCUAGCUAACAUUAGCCACCUAGCUAGACUACCUAACAUUAGCCACAACGAACAAUUAUUUGUGUAAUGUACACAAAUGCGUUAUGAUGAAUGAAAAUUGUGUAAUACACACAAAAUGCGGUGUGAUGAAAAUUGUGUAAUGCACUUGCCUGUCACAAUUUUUGAAUAAGUCAUUGUGUCUAUCUAUCUAUCUAUCUAUCUAUCUAUCUAUCUAUCUAUCUAUCUAUCUAUCUAUCUAUCUAUCUAUCUAUCUAUCUAUCUAUCUCCUCUAGAACCUGAAUGGUGAGCGGAGGACCAGAGCUACCUUCCUGAGCUCCAAGGUUCUAGACUGUUCCGUCCCCUCACUGAAUGACAAACCCUACACUCGCUGGGAAGUCAAGGUAAAGUUGUGUACAGUAUUUCCCAUCUGGUAAAGUUAUAUAAAUAAAGUUAACUUAUUCGUUUUACUAAAGCACAUGGAAAGUCACCUCAUCUCCUUGCAAGAACCUGUGAUUAUGGCUCACUUUUUCAAAGACAACUUGAAGUCUUUCCGCUUUGCCCUGUUCCUGACCUUCUCCUUGCCUCGUAUACAGCCUAUAUAUCAUGUUCCAGCAUGUCCCUGAGUGGUUUGGGAUCGCUGUUUGUUUACUGCUGUAUUAGAAGACAUUAGCAUAAAUCUCAAUGUAGGAGACAGAGCCGUGGGGCUUCUCUCCACACCCCCAAGGUUAGCCCAAAGUCAGAUCUUUCUGGAUUAGGUGAGCCUGGGUAAGUGGGCUUAGAAGAUGAGCCCGAUAUUACCUACCUUAGUCCAGGCUCUGCCAUUAAUCUACAAGGUUUAGGGGAGUUUGAGUCACCCGUCCCUUAGAAAUGUGAGGUAUAUUUGUAUUGGAUGCUGUGAAAAUGUCCAAGUGUACAUAAGCGUGAGUUUCAAAUUGUUAUAACUUUUUUUACAGCAUGUGAGCUUCAAACUUCUGAAAUCAUAUUACAUGAUUUACUUAGCUAAACCACCAAACCAUUUGACCAUCCAAACCAAGCUCAAGACAAGGAAGCCCUCCUGUAUGAUAUGAAUGUCUUGAACUGGUUAGCACUAGAGAGUGUUGAGUAUUGGUUGGCUACAGUGUUGUUCCUUCUUGUCUCAGGUGACCAAUGACGGCUCUCAGUACAGUGAGCCUAAGGUGCUAACAAUCUACGAUGGCGUGUGCCGAGUGUGUGAACCAACCCACUCCGGACUCUGUAAGUUAAACGUAACUACCAGACACCACACAAACACACGCACACAUGCACGCACACAUUCAUAUUUCCCCUAAAAGACGCAGCGUAUCUCCUCAAAAACCAUGCAAGUUUAGGAAAACUCUUCACCACCGAGAAAGACAUAAGAUACUCGUAUGAAGAGAAGUGAAAAGCAGGCCGUCUCGUAAUGUCUGCAGGGUAGUUGCUGCUGAACAUGUUGUCCACACAACAUCACUUUCAGAGCUCCCUACGUCCAUGGAUGUUUGUUCUAAACCACAGAUGUUAUGAAGGUCCUCCCCACACACACACACACACACACACAAACUCCACACUGAUACAACAAACUGCAAGCAGCUAUGGUAAUCGUGAUCGGCAUGUAAGGUUUGAAAAAGGAUCAACAUCUUGACAAUCGGAGAAUAUCAAUUGCAUAUCCUUGAUUCCUUGCGUCCUCUCUCCUCCUUUUCAAAAACCAUUCGAUGAGCAGGUCAGAUGUCCCUCCCCUCUGACCUUCUCAUCCAAUGGGUUUUGAGAAGGAGGUGAGGAGAAAGGACACGAAGGAUCAAAGAAAUGCAAUUCAGAUUCUCCGCAAGACCAAAGUGGGAAGGUGACCGUCUUGAGGAAUGAGAGAAGGAAACGAUAGAUAGCGGUGUUCUUGCCACGGUCAUUCAUUUUCACUUGGAGAGGGGCUGACACACUGGUAUAGAGAGGGGAGACAAUCUCUAAAUUUUUUCUCUCCUUCUCUCUCUCUCUCUCUCUCUCUCCUUUUUCAAUUCAAUUCAGAGGCUUUAUUGGCAUGGGAAACGUAUGUUAAC
rnacentral:lncRNA from 1 species